GCUUCGGUAGCUCAGUGGUAGAGCAACAGCCUUGUAAGCUGUAGGUCGGGGGUUCGACUCCCUCUCGAAGCU
rnacentral:tRNA from 1 species